rnacentral:rRNA from 1 species
AACGAACGCUGGCGGCAUGCCUAACACAUGCAAGUCGAACGAAGUCUUCGGACUUAGUGGCGCACGGGUGCGUAACGCGUGGGAAUCUGCCCUUGGGUACGGAAUAACUCAGAGAAAUUUGUGCUAAUACCGUAUAAUGUCUUCGGACCAAAGAUUUAUCGCCCAAGGAUGAGCCCGCGUAAGAUUAGCUAGUUGGUGGGGUAAAAGCCUACCAAGGCGACGAUCUUUAGCUGGUCUGAGAGGAUGAUCAGCCACACUGGGACUGAGACACGGCCCAGACUCCUACGGGAGGCAGCAGUGGGGAAUAUUGGACAAUGGGCGAAAGCCUGAUCCAGCAAUGCCGCGUGAGUGAUGAAGGCCCUAGGGUUGUAAAGCCCUUUUACCAGGGAUGAUAAUGACAGUACCUGGAGAAUAAGCUCCGGCUAACUCCGUG